rnacentral:rRNA from 1 species
GUUGAACGCUGGCGGCAUGCCUAACACAUGCAAGUCGAGCGGAUGGAGGGAGCUUUCGCCUGGAUUCAGCGGCGGACGGGGGAGUAAUACCUGGGAGUCUGCCUGGUAGGGGGGGGGGACAUCCGGAAACGGGCGCUGAUACCACAUACGACCUGAGGGAGAAAGUGGGGGAGCGUCGGACAUCACGCUAUCAGGUGAGCCUAGGUCGGAUUAGCUAGUUUGUGGGGUAAGGAGCUACUUAGGCGACGAUCCGUAGAUGGUCUGAGAGGAUGAUCAGUCACACUGGAACUGAGACACGGUCCAUACUCCUACGGUAGGCAGCAGUGGGGUAUAUUGGACAAUGGGCGAAAGCAUGAUCCAGUCAGGCCGAGUGUGUGAAGAAGGUCCUCGGAUUGUAAAGCACGUUAAGUUGUGAGGAACCGCAGUAAGCUAAUACCUUGCUGUUUUGACGGUACCAACAGAAUAAGCACCGGCUAACUUCGUG